GCGUACGCGGGAAGCUCUGACGCGCGGUUCAUCCCAACGGCCGCCCACCGACCGCGCCGAGCCACUGGCGAGACCGACCCGCGGAAUG
ncrna:unclassified sequences c-di-GMP-II-GAG riboswitch